UGGGGGGGCCCUUAAGGCGCUGCCUGAAGAACCACAUGCCAGUUGUUUUAGUAUUAAUAUUGAAAUGGCGUUUUGGCGCAUAUGAUGGGAGCUUUUAUUUAUUAUAUAUUUAAUUAAAGUUUUUCAGUUUAUCAAGUUAGGGGAUUUUGAAAAGGCUAAGGCCUGCCUUCUGCUUAAGACGAAACCCUGAAUAGGGCGCACUGGGGAAGAGGGGAACCAGAGGUAGCUUAGUUGCUCUUUAGCAGUGGAGGGGUUUUCUCAAGUCUGGAAACAGGGAAGAGGGUAAUGGCGAAAUGUUUGAAGUAUUUAUCAUGGCAACUAAGGGGCAGACUAAAAUUCGUGCCAGCAGUCGCGGUAAGACGAGGACAUUGCCCAAGACUUAGGGUGAGAAAUCGGCAUAAAGAGCAUGUAAAUCGAAUUUUUUUCCUUGAAAAUUUUAAUGAAUUGUUUCUUUUAAGAUAAUAUGAAGAGGAAGGGUAAGAAGUUUAUUUUAGCUUCUUCAUUUAGAAAGUGGAAAGGAUGGUCUUAAAAAGCUUUUGUUUCUACAGUUUUCUCUUUGUUGUUUUUGGGGGUUUGAUUUUUUUGAAAUUUCAAGUUUGACUAUUAAAUACCGAAGGAGGAAAGAAUUUUAGGUACAGGGUUUAAGUGGUUUGCUGUAAUGGUAAUUAGGGCUUUAUGGGUAUACGAACUUAUUUAAUAGAAGCUUCUCUGUCCGUUAUUUGAUUGUUUAUUUUUAAGGGUAGAUAUUUCAGUAGAGAAUUCAAAACAGGUGAAAUAGGUAGCUAUAGUGUAGGGCAUAAAGGAAAUAGUUUUGUUUUGAUGUGAUGCGUAGGAGGCAUAUGAGCGAAGGGGAUUAGGUACCCCCGUAGUAGUCUCAGUAAACAGAGGUAAGUGAAUUUCUAAUUGAGCUUACUCGCCUGGAGAAGACACCGAAAGGUGAAGAACCAAUCCGCUUCGGCCGUUAGUCAUGACCAUCCGAGGCGCGUGGUAGUUAAUUCGAUGGUCCACGUUAUACCUUACUCAAGUCUUGCAAUACGUAAGGGGUUGUAUGGUAAUUAUUUUUUAGGGGUAAUGAAAUUAUAACUCCCCAAGUUAUAUAUAGGGUACUGCACGGCCGUCUUCAGGAUGUCUAUCGAAGACUAUUCAAAAUCUGCUUAUUUUUUUGAAGUUAGAGCAAGGCAGGUGUCGUGGUCCAAAUACUUGAGGCGAGCUGCGCGACAAUUCUUUUUUUCAAACCUCGUAAAUAAAGGUAAAGAAGAAAUUAUGAUUAAAGUAAGGGCUUUAAUUCUUUUUAAUUCUGUCACCCUUAUCGGGCAAAUAUUUGUAACUUGUUGAAGGGGUGAGGCACGUAUCUAUGUAGAUUGUGGGAUGGUGCUUCUUUAGAGUCUUGCUUGUUUGGCAAGACUUUUAAAGGGCUUCCCCUUUUUAUUUUUUAUAUUUGAUAUAAAGGGUAAAAGGUUUAGAUUAUUAAACUGUAGGGUUUAAGUCAGAAGUCUGAUUAACUUCUUUGGGCGUAAAAGAGUUGUAGUCUUAGAAAGGUUGAGUUUUGGAAGAAUAACUAUUAGGACUUUAUCCUGUCGCUUGGGUCAAGGAUAAAUAAGUGUAUACUUUUGUACAAGGCUUAAAGGUUGAAAAUUUACUUUUAGGAAAAGGAUUGGAUAGUAAUCGGGAAAUAGAGGGUCUCGGUGAAUCUAACAUUGGCUUGGGUACGUAUUGCCCGUCACCGAACAGGUAAACUCCUGUCGCAAGUCGUAACAUGGUAGGGGUAGGGGAACCUGCUCCUGGUUUUGU
rnacentral:rRNA from 1 species